UACGUAGGCAGCGAGCGUUGUUCGGAAUUACUGGGCGUAAAGAGUGUGUAGGCGGUGCUCUAAGUUCGGUGUGAAAUCUCCUGGCUCAACUGGGAGGGUGCGCCGGAAACUGGAGUGCUUGAGCGUGGGAGAGGAAAGCGGAAUUCCUGGUGUAGCGGUGAAAUGCGUAGAUAUUGGGAGGAACACCAGUGGCGAAGGCGCUACCUGGACCGGUUCUGGACGCUGAGGCGCGAAAGCGUGGGUACGCAAACAGG
rnacentral:rRNA from 1 species